GGGACCACGAGGAUCCUGCCUAUCCUGGUGUAUUAAGAUUCUGUCUGUGCAAAAGGAAGUUCUACUGCAUUCAGUGGGACUUGCUCCAGGUACAGAAAGAAUAACAAUGAAGAAAACAAUGUCAAAGCCAAGGAAUUCAUUCCCAAACAUUACACAGCAGCAAAUCUGCCACAAAAAUAAAAAUAAAACAAACUCAAAGGGAAAAUUUUCUUUCCCCCCCCCCCAACUCAAGUACACAUUACAGUUAUUUGUACUUCCUGAACAGCAAAAUCACUCCAGGGAGUGACUAAAAAUGAUUGCCCAACAGAAGUGGUUUUUCUAAUAAAAAGGGAACAGAAAAAUGUCACGGGACACUGCGAAGAAGGAGAUGACCUUGCCUUAUGGCAUAAGGGGGUGAUUUACAAAGCCAUCAUUUAGGACUGAUUCCCAUUUCCCAGGGGUUGGCUGGGAUCUCCCAGAAGACGCACACACUUUCAAUCAACUGCAGGUGCUAUUGCUAAGUCUGCACAACAAAUCUAUACCCAGUGGUGUACGUAGGUGUCUGUAUUGCAAACAAACAGGACCCCACACUUGUCAACCAAUCCUAAAUCUUCUUCUUGUCAUUAUUAAAAGUUUAUUGAACUUUUA